rnacentral:rRNA from 1 species
AUUGAACGCUGGCGGCAUGCUUUACACAUGCAAGUCGAACGAGUGGCGAACGGGUGAGUAAUAUAUCGGAACGUACCGAGUAAUGGGGGAUAACCAAUCGAAAGAUUGGCUAAUACCGCAUAUCAUUCGAGCGGCCGAUAACUGAUUAGCUAGUUGGUGGGGUAAAGGCCUACCAAGGCGACGAUCAUGAGCGGGUCUGAGAGGACGAUUCGCCCCACUGGGGAUGAGACACCGCCCAGACGCCUACGGGAGGGCGCAGUGGGGAAUUUUGGACCAUGGGGGCAACCCUUAUCCAGCCCUGCCGCGGGUAUUAAGAAGGCCCUCGGGUUUGAAAAGACUUUUGGUAGGGAAACGGUACCUAAAGAAUAAGCACCGGCUAACUACGUGCCAGCAGCCGCGGUAAUAC